rnacentral:SRP_RNA from 1 species
AAUUGUCACUACAACAGCCGCGGCAAACCGUGUGAGGUUGGAAACAAAGCAGCACUAAGCAUUAACGGUUGUGUGUAGUGGCAUAUAUA